GACGACGCUGGCGGCGUGCCUAACACAUGCAAGUCGAGCGGGGUUGAAGCGAGAGGUAACUCGAGCUUCUACCUAGCGGCGGACGGGUGAGUAACGCGUGGGCAACCUGCCUCAAGGUUUGGGAUAACAGCCCGAAAGGGCUGCUAAUACCGGAUAUGCCUAUGGCCUCGCAUGGGGCUAUGAGCAAAGGGGAAACCCGCCUUGAGAUGGGCCCGCGUCCCAUCAGCUAGUUGGUGAGGUAACAGCUCACCAAGGCGACGACGGGUAGCCGGCCUGAGAGGGUGACCGGCCACACUGGGACUGAGACACGGCCCAGACUCCUACGGGGGGCAGCAGUGGGGGAUCUUGCACAAUGGGCGAAAGCCUGAUGCAGCGACGCCGCGUGAGCGAAGAAGGCCUUCGGGUUGUAAAGCUCUGUCUGGAGGGACGAAGGAAGUGACGGUACCUCCGGAGGAAGCCACGGCUAACUACGUG
rnacentral:rRNA from 1 species